GUCUCUGGAUGUAGUUGAUAAAUUUUUUUCGACGAAAAGAGCAGGCGGUGGGGAGCCUUCUUGCCCCUCUGGGACA